rnacentral:rRNA from 1 species
AACGAACGCUGGCGGCAGGCCUAACACAUGCCAGUCGAGCGCGCCCUUCGGGGUGAGCGGCGGACGGGUGAGUAACGCGUGGGAACGUGCCCUUCUCUGCGGAAUAGCCUCGGGAAACUGAGAGUAAUACCGCAUACGCCCUUUGGGGGAAAGAUUUAUCGGAGAAGGAUCGGCCCGCGUUGGAUUAGGUAGUUGGUGGGGUAAUGGCCCACCAAGCCGACGAUCCAUAGCUGGUUUGAGAGGAUGAUCAGCCACACUGGGACUGAGACACGGCCCAGACUCCUACGGGAGGCAGCAGUGGGGAAUCUUAGACAAUGGGGGCAACCCUGAUCCAGCCAUGCCGCGUGAGUGAUGAAGGCCUUAGGGUUGUAAAGCUCUUUCAGCUGGGAAGAUAAUGACGGUACCAGCAGAAGAAGCCCCGGCUAACUCCGUG